AUUGUGAACCAUCUUCCGUUCCCAAGCUGAGUGUGAGGACUGUUCCAUUUCCUUGAUUAUUACACGAAGAUCAGUUUUUUGGUUUCUAUAGGUGAGUGAGAUUCAAUUCCUACAUUGCCUGGUAACAUACUAAUCCAUCCGUAGUUCGCAGUGUCAUCUUGUCUAUCGUGGACCGGGACUCAAGAGCUGCUGUAAGGGAAUUAGAUCGUAUCCAGCCAAUCAUCGAUCCUGUUGAUCUCCCGGAAACUAUUCAAAUGAAAGAGUUAUGGUAGUGUAGAAAAUGGCGUCGUGCUUCGAGCUGGUUAGCUGUUCUUCCCAGGCGAGAGCGAAUUAAUAAAAGGGCAAGUGAUUCCAGAAGGGCAGCCUUAUCAAAUCAAGGUAGGAUCUUUCUAUUUACAUGCGCGGGUAUAAGGCCUAUUGCAUUUCUAAAAUGCACGUCAGAUGACAUAGAAAAAGUUAUUAACUAAUCGGUAC